AGACCGCGGGGAGGAAGCGGUUUUGAGGUUCAGUUCCUGCCUCGUAAAGGAGAGGGUCCUGAGAGGCCUCCCUGGGGGGUCUGUGCUCCCCACGACGGUCACCGGCUCCAGGGCCCGGCCGCGAUCCCCUCUCGGCCCGGGUCAGGGGUCUCGGGAGCCUCGAGGUGUCGGGGUGGUCAGAGGCGCUCGAAAGGCUCCGGAGGCCUCGGGGAGUCUGGGGUCUCGAAGGGCCUGGGGGACUCAGGAUCUCAGGAGGCCAGGGGCUCUGGACUCUCAGGAUCGGGGAGUCUCGGGGCCGUGCGUCGCGGCCGCUGGCUGGUGAACGGAAGGUAUGGCAACGCAGCAUUUGUGAAAAUCAAACUCUAGGUCGGUCCAUCCUCACCGCCCUGUGCGGGAGGGCAGCCCCUCCCCCUCCCACUGAGAUGCCAGGAGUGUGAAACAGGUCGCGGGUGAGAUCAUGCGCCGAAGGAGAUGGCCCCCAAGGCCUGCGAAACCCCACGGAGGAGGGGCCGGGGGCUGCAGCCGGCUCCGCACGUGCCCUCUGGAGUGCACUGAGGAGAAGCAACCCUGUGACUGGACGGAGAAACCGAGGCACAGCACGGGGGUAACUAGCCUGGUCACAGCUAACAGGCAGCAGUGGGGCUUGAACCUGGGUGGCCUGGCCCAGCAUCUCUGCUGUCCACCAGCAGCUGCUCCUCGACUUCUCAAGCAUCUCGACUUCUCAGAUCUUUUUAACAAGUCCUCCCAUUCUUAACAUGAAAAUGCCUCAUAAACCCCCCAAAU